UGAUUAGGUUACAGAGAACAGAACGAAUCUUUUCUCGCCGGACGGAAAAUUUCCCUGAAGAUUUUCUCGCGUCUUCUUUGUCCUCGUGAAGCUCCAUGAACUCACGAGAUCUUGCCCUUGUCUCUACGGCGGCUAUUUUUGGUGCUUUAACUUCAGCGGUUGCUUUUCGCUUCUUCCCCUUGAACCUUAGAAAACCCAACUCCCGAAGAACUGCUUCCACACAAAAUGGCGAACUUUCCAGAAGAUUCCCGGCUCAGGAUCCUUUUGAUCCUUCGAAACGAAAAGGAUACUUAACAUGGGAUGAUUACUUCAUGGCGAUUGCAUUUCUGUCAGCGGAACGAUCAAAGGAUCCUAACAGGCAGGUGGGUGCCUGUUUGGUAAGCCAAGAUGGUGUGAUCCUUGGGAUUGGUUAUAAUGGGUUUCCUCGAGGUUGUUCAGACGACAAACUUCCUUGGGCUAAGAAAUCAAAAACUGGGGACCUUUUGGAGACGAAGUACCCCUAUGUUUGCCAUGCUGAAGUUAAUGCCAUACUGAACACAAACCAUGCAUCCGCCGCCGGACAGAAGCUCUAUGUUACGAUGUUUCCUUGCAACGAGUGCGCUAAGAUUAUUAUCCAGUCUGGUGUUGCUGAGGUCAUAUAUUUUGUAGAGAAGAGACUAACCAAGUCGGAUGUCGCUUAUGUAGCUUCUAACAGGCUCUUAUCCAUGGCCGGCAUCAAAGUAAGGAAACAUCAGCCACGGAUGGACGAGAUCUUGAUCAAGUUCCAAGAGCCCUGAGUCUGUCAUUUAUAUUUUCUUCUGCUAUUUGCUCCCCCAUUGCAGGAUCUAAGGACCUGACUGUACCAAAUUAAAAUAGAGGGCUAAGUCUUAAUUUUAUAGAAGUUCGCCUGCCAAAUUACAAUUUUCUUUCUUCCUCUUUUCUCUUUAAUGCAUCUACGGGAUAAUCCUCAAAUUGUUUUGCUUGGAGCAUCAUCAUGUUGAUUCAGAAUAUGAUUGGUGAUCAUUGCAAAUGAAAUCUACCAUAGAACUCCGAUUAGUAGGCGCGAUCAUAUUUUACAAAAUUGAUAGUCCUAAAGGUGGAUGCUUUACCCCAGAUGCGGACAAUUUUGCAACUUCAUAAAAGGUGGGGGCAAAAAUGAGAAAUCCAACUUGAGACGGGCUCAUCUUUUUUAUUUCCCUGUUCGAACACGUAGGUCGGUAUAUAAACACAGAUUCUGUCAUCAAGAAAGCUCGGAGUCUCAAAAGCAAUGUUCAGACAAGAACCAAAACAGCAGUUUCAUUCAUUCAUUCACAC